rnacentral:tRNA from 1 species
GUUCUGGUAGCUCAGUUGGUAGAGCGCACGGCUGUUAACCGUGAUGUCGGAGGUUCGAGUCCUUCCCAGGACG